rnacentral:rRNA from 1 species
AUGGUGAGGCUAAUGGAGAUCUCCAAGAAAUGGCACGGCAGUGCUAGCAGCAAGGUCACCUCCCCUACCGCCGCCGCUGGUGCAGCGGCCACGGUGGCGUCGUGCCCGCGGGGCCAUUUCGCGGCCUACACCCGGGACGGCAGCCGGUUCUUCGUUCCCAUCGGCUGCCUCACCAGCGACACCUUCCGGGAGCUCCUCAACAUGGCCGAGGAGGAGUUUGGCAAACCUGGCGACCGCCCCAUCGUGCUGCCGUGCUCCGUGGCCUGCCUUGAGCAGAUCCUCGCCGACUUCCGGGCCACCUCCAAGAAGCACAACGGUGGCGGCAGGGCCAAGAUUUGGUAG